GUAAGCGGGUGGGAGGGAGGGGGUAUUUGGAGGCAGUAGGGGACUUUGAUAGUCCGGGUUAAGUUCACUUUUGUGCAUUCAUUUGAUGAACACAACCUUGAAAAAUACACUGAAUUCAAAUGGCUGCGUGUCAGGUUGGCUUUUGUGGCCGAACAGCGAGCACUUUAAGCGUGUUUUAUAACCUAAAGAUGCAGUGGUGUCUUUGAUCUCAGCAUCCUGGAAGUGGAAAGCACAGAAGAGACUGGGCCUACACCACAUACAGGUGCAGUGUGUAGAAGAAGCAGUCCAGAAGGAGGAAGACUUGGGGAGGAGGUGGUGCAGCAGCGCACCCCUCCGGCUGUGCUGGGUG
ensembl:lncRNA